rnacentral:tRNA from 1 species
GAGGCUGUGGCUCAGUGGUAGUGCACAUACCUGGCGUGUGUGAGGCACUGGGUUUGAUUCUCAGCACCACA